UUAUUUUUUGCUCCUGAUGGU
rnacentral:piRNA from 1 species